CGGUUAUACCAAGUGAUUAAGUUAUAUUUCUAGGUAAAAAGACAGUUAGGUUUUAAAAUUAAAACAAUUUUAGUUCAUUAAACAUCUAUAAAAAAGUAAAAUUUGUAUAUAGACAGCUAAUCUAAAAAUAACUACAUAUACUGAAGCUGUGAUAAUCUUGAGGGAAACUGGGAUUAGAUACCCCAUUAUUCUUGACUGUAAAUAUAAUUAAAUUUACCAGAGUACUAUGAAUAGUUAAAAAUUUAAAACUCAAAGGGCUUGGCGGUGUUUUAGACCUAUCAGGGGAACCUGUCUCGUAAUCGACAAUCCACGCAAUAUCUAACCUUAUUUUGUAAUCAGUUUGUAUACCGUCGUCGUCAGGUAACUUUUAAAAAUAUAGAAGUUAGCAAUCAAAACUUAUUAGUUAAAACGUCAGAUCAAGGUGCAGCCUAUAAUAGGGAGAGGAUGGGUUACAGUUAUAAAAAUUAUAAUUACGGAAAUUUAAAUGAAACUUAUUUUGAAGGAGGACUUGAAAGUAAACUAAAAUACAUAAAUAGUUUGAAUAAGGCUCUG
rnacentral:rRNA from 1 species